rnacentral:rRNA from 1 species
AUUGAACGCUGGCGGCAUGCCUAACACAUGCAAGUCGAACGAGUGGCGGACGGGUGAGUAAUGUCUGGGAAACUGCCUGAUUGAGGGGGAUAACUACUGGAAACGGUAGCUAAUCCCGCAUACCAUCAGAUGGUCCCCUAUGGGAUUAGCUAGUUGGUGGGGUAACGGGUCACCAAGGCGACGAUCCCUAGUCGGUCUGAGAGGAUGACCAGCGGAACUGGAACUGAGACACGGUCCAGACGCCUACGGGAGGCAGCAGUGGGGAAUAUUGCACAAUGGACGCAAGCCUGAUACAGCCAUGCAGCGUGGAUGAAGAAGGCCUUCGGGUUGUAAAGUACUUUCAGCAGGGAGGCGUUAUCCGCAGAAGAAGCACCGGCUAACUCCGGGCCAGCAGCCGCGGUAAUAC